CUUAGUGGCGAACGGGUGAGUAACGCGUGAGUAACCUGCCCUGGAGUGGGGGACAACAGUUGGAAACGACUGCUAAUACCGCAUAAGCCCCACGGAUCCGCAUGGAUCUGCGGGAAAAAGGAUUUAUUUGCUUCAGGAUGGACUCGCGUCCAAUUAGCUAGUUGGUGAGGUAACGGCCCACCAAGGCGACGAUUGGUAGCCGGACUGAGAGGUUGAACGGCCACAUUGGGACUGAGACACGGCCCAGACUCCUACGGGAGGCAGCAUG
rnacentral:rRNA from 1 species